UUUGUUUUGUUUAUUGUUUGAUUAUUUUGCGUGCUUUUGUGUGGUUUAUACAUUUCGUAAUGGCAAAAUAGUUGAUACACUCUACCAAGCGACCGUGGUUGAACCACGGAAUCGAGGGGUGCCUAACACCUUCCCCUCGGUCAACAGAAUUCCUUAGCCAGAGUCUCUGUUCGCAAACCAGUUUAAAGAGUCAAAUGGUUUUGAAAAGGAUUUUUCCAAUGGUGACUUGGCACACCAGAUUAUGCCAAGUGGCGACUCUGAGUAAACAAUAUAAAUAAUCCUUUUCCGAAAUAAAUUUUCAUUUCUUGUCACUUAAAU
rnacentral:lncRNA from 1 species